ensembl:lncRNA
GUGUCCCAUUUAUGCCCCACGGUGCCCAUGUGUGCCAUUGUACACCAUCUGUGUGCGUCCCUUCGUGUGCCCACCCGCGUCCCUUCAGUCCGUGUCCCAUUGAUGCCCCAUAUCCCAAGGUGUCCUAUUGGUGUCCCCUGCCCCGUGGUGUCCACGUGUGCCAUUGUGCUCCAGCUGUAUACAUUCCAUGGUGUCCAUCCGUGUCCCCUGGGUCCAUGUCCCAUGGUGUCCCAUGGUGUCCCGUGGUGUCCCAUUGGUGUCCCAUUGGUGUCCAUGUCCCCGUGUGUCACCGUGCGCUGUCUGUGUGGGUCCCAUUGGUGUCCAUCCAUGUGCGAUGGCUCCAUGUCCCGUGGUGUCCAUGUGCUGUCCAUACCCCACGUGUCCGUGCGCUGUCCGUGUUCCGUGGUGUCUUCGUCCCCUGGCUCCACGUCCCACAGUGUCCGUAUCCCAUGGGUCCAUGUGGUGUCCGUGUCCCAUGGGUCUGUGUCCUAUGGCGCCCGUGUCAUGGGGUGUCCAUAUCCCAUGGUGUCCAUAUCCCAUGGUGUCCAUAUCCCAUGGUGUCCUCGUCCCAUGGUGUUUGUGCCCCAUGGUGUCUGCACCCCACAGCGUCCACACCCAUGGGCCCAUAUCCCAUGGAUCCACUGUCACGAUGUGCCCCCCACGAGGGCCAUGGGGAUGGGUUGGCCCCAGAUGUGUCCCCCCAUGUGGAUGAGGUGCCCCAGAUGUGUCCCCCAGUGCCACCCGUGGGUGCUGCGCCCGCUGCCGCUGAGCCGUGAGCUGCGCACACACAGACGCCUCAUUAACCUUUCUUGAUUAAGGCAAUUAUCUCCAGCACAUUAUCUUCUAAUCUAAACAUCGCCGCGCGGUGGGGCGGGGGGAGCGGCAGCGCAGCCAUAGGGGCUUUGUGGGAACAGACAGGGCUGUCCCAUGGGUGGGGGUUGGGGGUCCCUUCCUGACACCUCACCCAGGACCCCAUGGGUGGGAGACAGCCAUACAAAUGGACUGGAGAUGCGAGAGGGGGCUGUGGGACCCCAAAGUGGGUAGGGGAUGGGGGGCGAUGGGGUGGGGAGGGGAUGGGGAUAGGAUGGGGGGGUGAUAGGGUGGGGAUGGGGAUGGGAUGGGGAUGGAGAUAGGAUGGGAUUGGAUGGGGAUGGGGUGGGGUGGGGUUGGGGGAGAUGGGGAUGGUGAUGGGGAUAGGAUGGGGAUAGGAUGGGAUUGGAUGAGGAUGGGGUGGGGUGGGGGGAGAGGGGGAUGGUGAUGGGGAUAGGAUGGGGAUGGGGAUAGGAUGGGGGUGCUGCUCCCAUCUGUGAGCCACCCUCGUGUGCCCCACAGCUGUGGGGUGGGAGCGGUGGUGUUCCAGGUGUGGGCAGCCCUCGUGGAUGGGUGGCCGUGAUGGCGCAUCCCUGCGCACACCCACCUGUAUCUGCACACACACACAGCUGCACACCUGCCCCACUCACACACUCACCCCACACCCCCGUGGGUGCCGCCCCACACCCCACAGUGCACGCAGCCUUUCUGCAAGUCCUUUUAUUUCGGUCCCCAACCCCUCCCCCCCCCCCCCAUUGCCACCGCCGUGCCGGGGAUGCAGACCCCAUGGGGACACCGCCGUCCUGAGCCCCACAGCGGGAUGGGGACGGGCGCUGGGGGUCCCUCAGCCCAGACCCCCAUCCCGGGCAGGGCAGGAGCUGGGGAGGGGGGUGGCACACAUGGCGGAGGGGGGGGGGUCCCCUCCAUGGGGGGGGAGGGGGGGGGAUUCUGUUUCAUUUCCUUUAUUUACAAAACUUGAUGGCUCCCCCUUAAUGGAGGUGGCACCCCCCACCUGGAAGUGCUGGAGGGGGGGUGCAGUGCCAGGAUGGGGGGCUCCCAUAGGGCCCAACGGAGCCCCCCGCCCUCACCUGUCACUAAAACUAUCGUUAUUAUUAAUAGGGAUUGGAGCAAUAAUGACGGGAGAAGAGCUGCAGCUGCGUCUGGGGGGCUCCGGCUGCUGGUGGGGCUGACGGAGGGGGGGGCAAAGUGCUGCGUGCCCCACUGGGGGGCUCUGACUGCAUGGGGGGGGGGGGGGGGGUGUGUGUGUGCCCCCCAGCCGGGCGUCCCGACAUGGCCCCGCGUGGCCCCGGCCCUGCGACUGUGGUGGGCGGCUGCACAGCUGGAAAUGCACAUCUGGAGUGGGGGUGGCGGUGAGCUGGGGGGGGGGGGGGCAGGGCCAGAUGGGGCGACCCGCCAGGGGGAGAUGCGCCAUGGGACGGCCGACUGGGGAGCAUCCCCAAAGGGAGCGCUCCGUGAUGGAACAUCCCAACAUGGAGCAUCCCAAAGGGAGCAUCCCAGGAUGGAACAUCCCAUGAUGGAACAUCCCAACAUGGAGCAUCCCAUGAUGGAGCAUCCCAUAAUGGAGCAUCCCAGCAUGGAACAUCCCAUGAUGGAGCAUCCCACGAUGGCCUGUCCCAACACAAAGCAUCCCAAAGAGAGCAUCCCAUGAUGGAACAUCCCAUGAUGGAAGAUCCCACUGUGGAGCAUCCCACCAUGGAACAUCCCAUGAUGGCCCGUCCCAAAAUGAAGCAUCCCAAAGGGAGCAUCUCAUGAUGGAACAUCCCAACAUGGAGCAUCCCAACAUGGAGCAUCCCAAAGGGAGCACCCCAUGAUGGAACAUCCCAUGAUGGAAUAUCCUAUGAUGGAGCACCCCACAAUGGCACAUCCCACCAUGGAGCACCCCAUGAUGGAGCACCCCACGAUGGCACAUCCCACCAUGGAGCACCCCAUGAUGGAGCACCCCACAAUGGCACAUCCCACCACGGAGCACCCCACCACGCAGUGUCCCACCCCAGAACAUCCCACUGUGGGGCAUCCCGCCCCCAACUGCCCCACAGCGGAGCUUCCCACCACGGAGCACCUCUGUGGGGUGUCCCACCGCGGACAGCCCCACCGCAGAUCACCCCACCCCACAGUUACGGGGCGUUUCGGAGCUAAACUCGGGGGGUUUGGUUCACUGACGCGGCAGAGCCCCGAUCUGACCCCGCCGCCCCCUCCCGUGGGGCCCCACGCGGCAUCACCCCGCUGCCCCAUAGCACCGCGGGCAGCUGGACUGGGAGGUCCCGACCCCUCGGCCCCCAGCCCCAGGCAGGGGCUGCGCUCCGUCCCAUCCACGUCUCGGGGUGGCACGAGGAGCCCAGGCACGGCUGCAAGACACAGAGGGGGUUGGUGGCGCUUCGGGGGUGGGACCGCCAUCAGGGUUGGGCGCAGACCCCGCAGUGCCACCUACUGUGCUUAGGAAUAGGCCAGGCCUUGGAGAGACCGCGCCGGGGUGUGGAACUUGUCUGAGUCCUCAAAGGCUGCGUCUGGGGGGGCACGGACAGAGUGAGG